rnacentral:rRNA from 1 species
GAUGAACGCUGGCGGCGUGCCUAACACAUGCAAGUCGAGCGAACAGACGAGGAUCUUGCUCCCCUCACGUUAGCGGCGGACGGGUGAGUAACACGUGGAUACCCUACCUAUAAGACUGGGAUAACUACGGGAAACCGGAUCUAACACCGGAUCAUAUAUUGAAACGCAUGGUUCAAUAGUCCUCGACGGAUUUGCUGUCACUUAUACAUGGAUCCGCGCCGAAUUAGCUAGUUGGUAGGGUAACGGCUUACCAAGGCAACGAUGCGUAGCCGACCUGAAAGGGUGAUAGGCCACACUGGAACUGAGACACGGUCCGGACCCCUACGGGAGGCAGCAGUAGGGAAUCUUGCGCAAUGGGGGAAAGCCUGACGGAGCAAGGCGGCGUGAGGGAUGAAGGUCUUCGGAUCGUAAACGUCUUUGAUUGGGGAAGAACAAAUGGGGAAAAAACUAUGCGGGUCUUAAGGGUACCGAAGCAGAAGGCCACGGCUAACUACGGG